AUGGCCGGUAUGCGGAACUACACACAGGUCGUAUGCAUGGUAGCUCUUGUAGCCAUGGCCACCACUGUCUUCUCAUGUCAUGUAGCAGGGCGUUAUGUAGAUACUGACCUGUGUACAACUCUGGACAAUUGUUCACCACCAGACCGAGCUAGUGGCAACAUUACGUGCAAAGCUAACUGUGUUAACCGAGGUUAUGACAAGGAUAAGAGCAGUUGCAUGGAAGGCAGUAGUAGCACAUGUUGCUGCCGAAAGAACUGA
rnacentral:rRNA from 1 species